rnacentral:rRNA from 1 species
AUACGUAGGGGGCAAGCGUUAUCCGGAAUCAUUGGGCGUAAAGAGUGCGUAGGUGGUUUCUUAAGCGUGGGGUUUAAGGCUACGGCUUAACCGUAGUUCGCCCCAUGAACUGGGAGACUUGAGUGCAGGAGAGGGAAGCGGAAUUCCAAGUGUAGCGGUGAAAUGCGUAGAUAUUUGGAGGAACACCAGUGGCGAAGGCGGCUUUCUGGACUGCAACUGACGUUGAGGCGCGAAAGCGUGGGGAGCGAACAGGAUUAGAUACCCUGGUAGUCCACGCUGUAAACGAUGGAUGCUAGGUGUGGGGGGUAUCGACCCCCUCCGUGCCGGAGUUAACGCAAUAAGCAUCCCGCCUGGGGAGUACGGCCGCAAGGUUGAAACUCAAAUGAAUUGACGGGG